CUUAAAUUGAAGCAAGUUCUGAGGACGCCGGUGGCGCCGAGGUUAGAAGAGGGGGUUCCAGGUCCCCACAUCAAGAGGUGCGAACCCGAAGGUCGACCCAGAAAUGGGACGCCGGUCUUCAGACACUGAAGAAGAAAGCAGAAGCAAGAGGAAAAAGAAACACAGGAGGCGGUCAUCUUCAAGCAGCUCUUCAGACAGCAGGACGUACAGCCGCAAGAAGGGUGGGAGGAGGCCAAGGUCGGAGUCACGAUCCUGGUCUAGAGACCGCCAGCCUCGCUCACAUUCUUAUGAGAGAAGACGCAGGCGCAGGUCAAGCAGCAGCUCUUCUUAUGGCUCCAGAAGAAAACGCAGUCGCAGUCGUUCCAGGGGCCGAGGGAAGUCCUAUAGAGUUCAGAGGUCUCGGUCAAAAAGCAGAACAAGAAGGUCCAGGUCAAGACCUCGUCCACGCUCACAUAGUAGAAGCAGUGAAAGAUCCAGUCACAGAAGAACUCGUAGUAGGUCCAGGGACAGAGACAGACGUAAAGUUCGGGACAAAGAGAAGAGAGAAAAGGAGAAGGAUAAAGGCAAAGACAAAGAGGCGCACACCAUCAAACGCGGGUGAGUUGAUGGAAUAUGUUUUGUGCUUGAUUUUUAGCCUCCAGCUGAGCAGGCCAAAGCCAGACUUCAAUUGGUCCUUGAAGCUGCUG
rnacentral:lncRNA from 1 species